GGUGGUGUAGCUCUGUGGUAGAGCACUUGCCUUGCAUGGGCAAGGCCCUGGAUUUCCAUCCCCAGCAACACCG
rnacentral:tRNA from 1 species